AGCCUGAACGCUGGCGGCGUGGCUAAGACAUGCAAGUCGUACGGAUGUAGCAAUACAUCAGUGGCGAACGGGUGAGUAAUGUAUCGCUAAUGUACCCCGGAUUCUGGGAUAGCUGUCCGAAAGGACAGGUAAUACCAGAUGAUAUACCCUUGUCGCAUGGCGAGGGUCUCAAAGGAGCAAUCCGCUCUGGGAGCAGGCGAUAUCGUAUCAGCUAGUUGGUGAGGUAACGGCCUACCAAGGCGACGACGGGUA
rnacentral:rRNA from 1 species